GAUGAACGCUGGCGGCGUGCCUAAUACAUGCAAGUCGAGCGAACGGACGAGAAGCUUGCUUCUCUGAUGUUAGCGGCGGACGGGUGAGUAACACGUGGAUAACCUACCUAUAAGACUGGGAUAACUUCGGGAAACCGGAGCUAAUACCGGAUAAUAUUUUGAACCGCAUGGUUCAAAAGUGAAAGACGGUCUUGCUGUCACUUAUAGAUGGAUCCGCGCUGCAUUAGCUAGCUGGUAAGGUAACGGCUUACCAAGGCAACGAUGCAUAGCCGACCUGAGAGGGUGAUCGGCCACACUGGAACUGAGACACGGUCCAGACUCCUACGGGAGGCAGCAGUAGGGAAUCUUCCGCAAUGGGCGAAAGCCUGACGGAGCAACGCCGCGUGAGUGAUGAAGGUCUUCGGAUCGUAAAACUCUGUUAUUAGGGAAGAACAUAUGUGUAAGUAACUGUGCACAUCUUGACGGUACCUAAUCAGAAAGCCACGGCUAACUACGU
rnacentral:rRNA from 1 species